AGUGAACGCUGGCGGUAGGCCUAACACAUGCAAGUCGAACGGCAGCACAGUAAGAGCUUGCCUUUACGGGUGGCGAGUGGCGGACGGGUGAGGAAUACAUCGGAAUCUACUUUUUCGUGGGGGAUAACGUAGGGAAACUUACGCUAAUACCGCAUACGACCUACGGGUGAAAGCAGGGGAUCUUCGGACCUUGCGCGAUUGAAUGAGCCGAUGUCGGAUUAGCUAGUUGGCGGGGUAAAGGCCCACCAAGGCGACGAUCCGUAGCUGGUCUGAGAGGAUGAUCAGCCACACUAGAACUGAGACACGGUCCAGAAUACUACGGGAGGCAGCAGUGUGGAAUAUUGGAAAAUGGGCGCAAGCCUGAUCCAGCCAUACCGCGUGGGUGAAGAAGGUCUUCGGGUUGUAAAGCCCUUUUGUUGGGAAAGAAAAGCAGCAGGUUAAUACCCCGCUGUUCUGACGGUACCCAAAGAAUAAGCACCGGCUAACUUCGUG
rnacentral:rRNA from 1 species